AGAGUUUGAUCAUGGCUCAGAUUGAACGCUGGCGGCAGGCCUAACACAUGCAAGUCGAGCGGUAGCACAGAGAGCUUGCUCUCGGGUGACGAGCGGCGGACGGGUGAGUAAUGUCUGGGAAACUGCCUGAUGGAGGGGGAUAACUACUGGAAACGGUAGCUAAUACCGCAUAACGUCGCAAGACCAAAGUGGGGGACCUUCGGGCCCUCAUGCCAUCAGAUGUGCCCAGAUGGGAUUAGCUAGUAGGUGGGGUAACGGCUCACCUAGGCGACGAUCCCUAGCUGGUCUGAGAGGAUGACCAGCCACACUGGAACUGAGACACGGUCCAGACUCCUACGGGAGGCAGCAGUGGGGAAUAUUGCACAAUGGGCGCAAGCCUGAUGCAGCCAUGCCGCGUGUUGUGAAGAAGGCCUUCGGGUUGUAAAGCACUUUCAGCGGGGAGGAAGGCCGGUGAGGUUAAUAACCUCAUCGAUUGACGUUACCCGCAGAAGAAGCACCGGCUAACUCCGUGCCAGCAGCCGCGGUAAUACGGAGGGUGCAAGCGUUAAUCGGAAUUACUGGGCGUAAAGCGCACGCAGGCGGUCUGUCAAGUCGGAUGUGAAAUCCCCGGGCUCAACCUAGGAACUGCAUUCGAAACUGGCAGGCUAGAGUCUUGUARAGGGGGGGGUAGAAUUCCAGGUGUAGCGGUGAAAUGCGUAGAGAUCUGGAGGAAUACCCGGUGGCGAAGGCGGCCCCCUGGACAAAGACUGACGCUCAGGUGCGAAAGCGUGGGGAGUAAACAGGAUUAGAUACCCUGGUAGUCCMCGCUGUAAACGAUGUCGAUUUGGAGGUUGUGCCCUURAGGCGUGGCUUCCGGAGCUAACGCGUUAAAUCGACCGCCUGGGGAGUACGGCCGCAAGGUUAAAACUCAAAUGAAUUGACGGGGGCCCGCACAAGCGGUGGAGCAUGUGGUUUAAUUCGAUGCAACGCGAAGAACCUUACCUGGUCUUGACAUCCACAGAACUUUCCAGAGAUGGAUUGGUGCCUUCGGGAACUGUGAGACAGGUGCUGCAUGGCUGUCGUCAGCUCGUGUUGUGAAAUGUUGGGUUAAGUCCCGCAACGAGCGCAACCCUUAUCCUUUGUUGCCAGCGGUUAGGCCGGGAACUCAAAGGAGACUGCCAGUGAUAAACUGGAGGAAGGUGGGGAUGACGUCAAGUCAUCAUGGCCCUUACGACCAGGGCUACACACGUGCUACAAUGGCAUAUACAAAGAGAAGCGACCUCGCGAGAGCAAGCGGACCUCAUAAAGUAUGUCGUAGUCCGGAUUGGAGUCUGCAACUCGACUCCAUGAAGUCGGAAUCGCUAGUAAUCGUAGAUCAGAAUGCUACGGUGAAUACGUUCCCGGGCCUUGUACACACCGCCCGUCACACCAUGGGAGUGGGUUGCAAAAGAAGUAGGUAGCUUAACCUUCGGGAGGGCGCUUACCACUUUGUGAUUCAUGACUGGGGUGAAGUCGUAACAAGGUAACCGUA
rnacentral:rRNA from 1 species